rnacentral:rRNA from 1 species
CCUACGGGAGGCAGCAGUGGGGAAUUUUGGACAAUGGGCGAAAGCCUGAUCCAGCAAUGCCGCGUGAGUGAAGAAGGCCUUCGGGUUGUAAAGCUCUUUUGUCAGGGAAGAAACGGUGGGAGCUAAUAUCUCUUGCUAAUGACGGUACCUGAAGAAUAAGCACCGGCUAACUACGUGCCAGCAGCCGCGGUAAUACGUAGGGUGCAAGCGUUAAUCGGAAUUACUGGGCGUAAAGCGUGCGCAGGCGGUUUUGUAAGUCUGAUGUGAAAUCCCCGGGCUCAACCUGGGAAUUGCAUUGGAGACUGCAAGGCUAGAAUCUGGCAGAGGGGGGUUAGAAUUCCACGUGUAGCAGUGAAAUGCGUAGAUAUGUGGAGGAACACCGAUGGCGAAGGCAGCCCCCUGGGUCAAGAUUGACGCUCAUGCACGAAAGCGUGGGGAGCAAACAGGAUUAGAUACCCUGGUAGUCCACGCCCUAAACGAUGUCUACUAGUUGUCGGGUCUUAAUUGACUUGGUAACGCAGCUAACGCGUGAAGUAGACCGCCUGGGGAGUACGGUCGCAAGNUUAAAACCGUCAAAGGAAUUGACGGCUAGAGAGAGACGACGGACGACGACGAGGGAGGAGG